GAUAAACGCUGGCGGCGCACAUAAGACAUGCAAGUCGAACGGAAGUCGUUGUAAUGAUUUUGACAUGGACAGAGAACUUGUUCGAAGAAAGUGAAGAUUGACUUACAACAAUGGCUUUAGUGGCGGACUGGUGAGUAACGCGUGAGCAACCUGCCUGUUAGAGGGGAAUAACAGUGAGAAAUCAUUGCUAAUACCGCAUAUGCCAUAAGUACCACAUGGUGCUAGUGGGAAAGGAGUAAUCCGCUAACAGAUGGGCUCGCGUCUGAUUAGCUAGUUGGUGGGGUAACGGCCUACCAAGGCGACGAUCAGUAGCCGAGCUGAGAGGCUCAACGGCCACAUUGGGACUGAGAUACGGCCCAGACUCCUACGGGAGGCAGCAGUCGGGAAUAUUGCGCAAUGGAGGAAACUCUGACGCAGUGACGCCGCGUAUAGGAAGAAGGUUUUCGGAUUGUAAACUAUUGUCAUUAGGG
rnacentral:rRNA from 1 species